rnacentral:rRNA from 1 species
UAGCGAAGGGGCUAGCGUUGUUCGGAAUUACUGGGCGUAAAGCGCGCGCAGGCGGUUCUUCAAGUCAGAGGUGAAAGCCCAGAGCUCAACUCUGGAAUGGCCUUUGAGACUAGAGAACUAGGGUACGGGAGAGGUGAGUGGAAUUCCGAGUGUAGAGGUGAAAUUCGUAGAUAUUCGGAAGAACACCAGUGGCGAAGGCGGCUCACUGGCCCGUUACCGACGCUCAGGCGCGACAGCGUGGGGAGCAAACAGG